rnacentral:rRNA from 1 species
CCCUUAGAUGUCCUGGGCCGCACGCGCGUUACACUGAUGCAUUCAACGAGCUUAUAACCUUGGCCGAGAGGCCUGGGCAAUCUUGUUAACGUGCAUCGUGAUAGGGAUAGAUUAUUGAAAUUAUUAAUCUUGAACGAGGAAUUCCUGGUAAACGCAGAUCAUCAAUCUACAUUGAUUACGUCCCUGCCCUUUGUACACACCGCCCGUCGCACCUACCGAUUGGAUGGUCCGGUGAAGCCUCGGGAUUGUGGUUCUUGCCGCUUUAUUGUGGCGUGACCGCGAGAACUUGUCUAAACCUUAUCAUCUAGAGGAAGGUGAAGUCGUAACA